GAUGAACGCUGGUGGCGUGCCUAAUACAUGCAAGUCGAGCGAAUGGAUUGAGAGCUUGCUCUUAUGAAGUUAGCGGCGGACGGGUGAGUAACACGUGGGUAACCUGCCCAUAAGACUGGGAUAACUCCGGGAAACCGGGGCUAAUACCGGAUAACAUUUUGAACCGCAUGGUUCGAAAUUGAAAGGCGGCUUCGGCUGUCACUUAUGGAUGGACCCGCGUCGCAUUCGCUAGUUGGUGAGGUAACGGCUCACCAAGGCAACGAUGCGUAGCCGACCUGAGAGGGUGAUCGGCCACACUGGGACUGAGACACGGCCCAGACUCCUACGGGAGGUAGCAGUAGGGAAUCUUCCGCAAUGGACGAAAGUCUGACGGAGCAACGCCGCGUGAGUGAUGAAGGCUUUCGGGUCGUAAAACUCUGUUGUUAGGGAAGAACAAGUGCUAGUUGAAUAAGCUGGCACCUUGACGGUACCUAACCAGAAGGCCACGGCUAACUACGUGCCAGCAGCCGCGGUAA
rnacentral:rRNA from 1 species